AUGGCUUACCUGCUCUCCAUCCGUCCUGAGAUGCUGAUGCUCGGAACCAGGAACGGUAUCUUCACCGUUGCCUGUGAUGAUGUCGAGCUCAUGAUGGGUGGCGUGUUAGCACCGGACGUAAGUGGACUUGCACAGGGAAUUCUUCAAAGGGCGCAACAGCCUCCCUCGUUACAGGCCAGCAAGAUAGGAGCUUUGGUUCCCAAUGCAUGCAGGCUUGCUGAAGCGUUGAUGGAGCUGCAGGAUGAAGGGGAGAGGUGGGAGGUGGUCCAGGGGGUAUGGGUUGAGAUGCUAUGCUACUCUGCCGGUAGGUGCAGGGGGUACUUGCAUGCGAAGAACAUGAGUGAAGGCCUAGAGCUGCUCUCUGAUGUCUGGUGUCUCUUGUCAUUCAUGGGGAUGGAGACAUCCGCCGACAGGUAUCAGAAGCCGGAGCCUCCCGAAACCAAGGAAGAAGAAGAAGAAGAAGAAGAAGAUGGCGACCAUGGUGGUGAAGGCAGAUCCGUCGAGCACGAGAUUAAUAUAUCUGUCUAA
rnacentral:rRNA from 1 species